UAGCAAUGUGCAUGUCAUUGAUGGCCUU
rnacentral:piRNA from 1 species